rnacentral:ribozyme from 13 species
AUUUGGAGAAAAUGGCUCCUUGAUAUUAAAUCAGUCAUGUUUAUUUUACCAUCUUUUAUUUUCUUGCUGACUCAACUCAAUCAAUCACCUGGGUUUUGUGAUUUUUUCUCUCAGCUAUUUGGAAUUUUCACCCUCAAAAAGAAGGGGAAGGAAAGAGAAGGGGACAGGAAAAAGAAGGGGAAAGGAAAGAGAA